GAUGAACGCUAGCGGCAGGCUUAAUACAUGCAAGUCGUACGGGAUCCGAGGUAGCAAUACUUUGGUGAGAGUGGCGCACGGGUGCGUAACACGUAUGCAACCUACCUAUAACCGGGACACAACCUCGAGAAAUUGUGGCUAAUAUCCCAUAACACUGCGAAAUGGCAUCAUUUUGCAGUUAAAACUCCGGUGGUUAUAGAUGGGCAUGCGCGACAUUAGCUAGUUGGUGAGGUAACGGCCCACCAAGGCUACGAUGUCUAGGGGUUCUGAGAGGAUUAUCCCCCACACUGGUACUGAGACACGGACCAGACUCCUACGGGAGGCAGCAGUAAGGAAUAUUGGUCAAUAGGCGCAAGCCUGAACCAGCCAUGCCGCGUGAAGGAUGACGGCCCUAUGGGUUGUAAACUUCUUUUGUACGGGAAAAAACCACCGGUCGUGUAUCGGUGCUGAUGGUACCGUAAGAAUAAGCAUCGGCUAACUCCGUGCCAGCAGCCGCGGUAA
rnacentral:rRNA from 1 species